rnacentral:rRNA from 1 species
AACGUAGGUGGCGAGCGUUAUCCGGAUUUACUGGGCGUAAAGCGUGUGCAGGUGGGCUACCAAGUGGUGUAUGAAAUCUCUCAGCUUAACUGAGAGCGGUUAUGUCAGACUGGCAGCCUAGAGUACGAGAGAGGGACGUGGAAUUCCGGUGGAGCGGUGAAAUGCGUUGAUAUCGGAAGGAACUCCGGCGGCGAAAGCGAUGCACUGGCUGGUUUCUGACGCUGAGGUGCGAAAGCCAGGGGAGCAAACGGG